CAGAGAGGCUCUGCGCCCAUUUGAGUUUCCAGACGCAUUCAGAACCACGGGACACACGCGGAAAGCUGGAGGAAAACAAGUUUAGCCCCUAUUCAGUCCUGAAUUCUGCAUGAGUCUCAUGACCAUGUGAAUGUCUUCUUAUAUCUGCUCCAUCUGCUUCAUCUCUGAAAGCAGAAACCAAACUAAAGGACCUCCGAACUCUGCAGGGCGAUGAUGGAUGUCUUGCAGUUGUCGGGUCCAAAUCAGAGUCCAGGACAGUACAGAAAAUGGGACACAGAUGGGAUGUUUGUCCUGCCGCCUGAAAGAAACACAUGAAAGAUGUAUCCCACUAUCUCCUUCUCUUUUCUUCAAAAUAUGCAUAAUUUACCUACAAUAACAGAAUUCAGUCUUGCUGUGUGAGAGACCUAAUAUUAAUAUUUUAAUUUCUAGAAUAAAAUGUAAGUGCAAAA